rnacentral:rRNA from 1 species
UACGUAGGGACCGAGCGUUGUCCGGAAUCAUUGGGCGUAAAGAGCGUGUAGGCGGCUUGCUAAGUCUUGCGUGAAAUCUCGGGGCUCAACCCCGAGCGGUCGUGGGAAACUGGCAGGCUAGAGUGCGGGAGAGGGACGCAGAAUUCCAGGUGUAGCGGUGAAAUGCGUAGAUAUCUGGAGGAAUACCGGUGGCGAAGGCGGCAUCCUGGACCGACAUUGACGCUGAUGAGCGAAAGCUAGGGGAGCAAACGGG